rnacentral:rRNA from 1 species
UACGGAGGGGGCUAGCGUUGUUCGGAAUUACUGGGCGUAAAGCGCACGUAGGCGGAUCAGUCAGUUAGGGGUGAAAGCCCAGGGCUCAACCCUGGAACUGCCUUUAAUACUGCUGGUCUGGAGGUCGAGAGAGGUGAGUGGAAUUCCGAGUGUAGAGGUGAAAUUCGUAGAUAUUCGGAGGAACACCAGUGGCGAAGGCGGCUCACUGGCUCGAUACUGACGCUGAGGUGCGAAAGCGUGGGGAGCAAACAGG